rnacentral:tRNA from 1 species
GGGCCCAUAGCUCAAUCGGUUAGAGCANNAGCACCUGACUCAUAAUCAGGGGGUUCCAGGUUCAAUUCCUGGUGGGCCCACUA